GGGCGCUACUAGCUUAGCUGUUUUGUCUUUCUUGGGUUCCCGAGGACUCUUAAGAAAUCUUUUCAUUUUGCAGCUGCCGGGUAAUGAGCAUAUUAAAAGUUUCAAUGCACUUGCCAAAAAAGCACAGCAGACAGCCUGUUGCAGAUUGGCCAUUAAUGUUUUCACUGCACUAUGGUUGGGUUACUUUUCUCUGUUCUCGGUUGCUCCACAUUCUCUACCUUGAAAGAAAGUGUUAACCUUUCUACACCAAAUACCUCAUUGUUGGAAUAGAAAUGAACAAAACUUGAAUUAAAGAUUCCUCUUUUCCCCUGUCCCCCACUUUUUGAUGAGAAAGGUCCUUUUCGGCAUCCUGUAGAAGGAGAGCUGAAAACAAAACAAAACCACUUGUUUACAUUUUAUUAGGUACUAGCAAUUUACUUCUUUCAAAUUGCCUAAUUUUAUUUUAGCCUUCUAAGCGCAAUCUUUUUGUGACCCACCCACCCCCAAAAAAGUGGGGGACAUAAGUUGGGAGGGCCAAAGUAAGUCUGAAGCCACUUUUGGUCAUUGAUUUCUUUUCAAGGGCUAAAUGAAUAAUCUUCUAAAGGCAGAAACUGGGCUGAGACAUUUGUAGGAAAAUGGACGGGGGAGGUCCAGUGUUCCUUGCAGUGCUGAGAACUAGGAGGCCUUCCCAGAGGUGCAAUGGUUUAAACCAUGGGUGUCCAACCUUGGCAACUUUUAAGACUUGUGGACUUCAACUCCCAGAAUUCCUCAGCCAAUUCUGGGAGUUGAAGUCCACAGGUCUGUAUUCACCCCAAGCCGUGUCUUUGUGGCCUGGAGGAAUGUGGACUCAUUGAGAAAUCCUAGCACAGUUUGUUCUUACAGAAGAGAGAGAAACCCAUCCCCCCCCCUUUCUUUUACUUCUGUGUAUUGAAUUGUAGUUGCUUUUGUAGCAGUUUUUUGGAAUGAAUAUAGCUUGAAUGGUUUAUAAUUUCUACAAGAGGUCUUGAACCAAGGUGAACCUUCCAUGGACCACAGUCCUUAGAGAGCAGAGAUGCUACCUUCUCAGUGUUUAUGUUUUGUUUUUUAAAAAAGCAGGAAUGAAAUUUGAAGGAAGGGACAGAAACUGAGAUACAAUCAGCUUUCUGAGAUAAAUUUUAGAAUAAGGGAAUUUCCUAACCCUACUGUCAGAUGAAUUGGGCUGGCAUCAGUUUUAUUACGUUACCUCCUUAUAUUAGAACUUGUCGUGGGUUUGUGCAGGACUUCUUUUGCUGAACUGAUGAAAAAUAAUCAGGCAGGAUCUUCUUUUUAAUUGCAUUCUUGCCAAAAAAUAAAAUAAAAAAAGGGCAUUCCCUUUCUUACAUUUCAUCCUAAAAAUUGAAGAUAUGACAAUCAAUGUGAUCUUUUUAAGGGCUUCAGUGUACUUAGCUCUGUAGCAUUGCACAUUAUUAUAUUUCUAGUGUUCCAUUUAACUUUUUCCUUUUCCUUAAAAAUGAUGGCAAAGAAAAAAAAUGGAGUGGAAACAAUUCCAGCAGCGCAUAUCUAAAUUAAUAUAUUUUGUCACUUUUUUUAAAACAAAACAAAUGGAGGCAGCAUUUGGGUUGGGUGGGAAGAAAUGUGGCCAGCUCUAUUUUAGUUGCCAGUCUUGUUCUCCUUUAAUGCUGUAACAUGUACAUUUUGACAGCACAGCUUGACAGUUUUAAGUAAUAAUUCAAAUGUCUGGUGGUAAUAACUUGCAUUAUUGUGCUAAGAUGAGAGUUGGUUUUCCCUGGUGCAUUGUAAAAGAGGGCUGGAGGCAAACUUCCUUUUUUACUUCCUGUCUUUUCUCCCACCGCCCCUUCCCUCCAGUAUUCUGCAAGCACAUUUAACUUCCUGGUGUGCAGUAUUUUACACAGGGUUGGGAGAAAACGGGGAGUGGGGGCAGAAGAGGAAUUUGCUUACAGCUUCUUCCUGUUGCCAUCUUAUUUAGGAAUGGCAUAAAAUCUAUUUUAACCGUGCAUCCUUCUUUGCAUCUUAGAAGACCCUGCUCCUAAUAUUUCUGGAUGGUUUUUUUCUUUUCACUUGUCUCAAAAAGCAAUCAUGGGGCUUCCCUUCUUAACCAAUCCAAAUAAGGAAGUUUUUCUCCAAUCACCUUUCUCCGAAGCACUUGCUUUACAAGUUUUAAAAAAAAGCACUUUUGUUUAAAAGCAUGAGGGUCUGAUUACCCCCUUUUAUAAACAACCUAUAGGAGAAAGGCCAGCAAGGGAAUACGGGAUCAAGAAAAGCCUAUUUUCCUUUUUGUCCCUCCCCCCACUUUAAACAAAAAAAAAACAUGUCUGUUGGGAGGGAGGUGGGUGGAGAAUUAUUUUAAUUUACUUCAGGGCUCUAGAGUCAUGGUUCUAGGGUUCAGAGAAUUAGAACAAAGGGAAGUUGUGUUUUAAAAAAUAAACAGCACAAAUACAUUUCAGCUUGACAAGUGUAUUUGCACUGCCAUUGUUAAAUAAAUGGGCCUUCCGCUGGGAGCCCAGCUGAGCCAUAUAACUAUUGACAAACACUGAAUGUAAAUGUCCUUGUAGAGGGCAAGUACUGAGAAGCGAUAAAUUGAUCAUAUAUUCCUAAGUGGGCACUUCAGCAAAUUUAAAAUAAUUUAACCUGAUAAAAUGAUGCUGUUCCUUUUUUCUAAAAAUGACUUUAUUUUGUUUACUUUUCCCCAGGGGUUGCUGGAGCUUAAGAAAACCCAUUUGUAGCAUUGUUAUUGUUCAUUACUUUUACACUCUCUUUGUCCCCUUUCCCCCACCUUUGCCCAAGGAAUUCAUGGGAUAUAGACAUCCCACUCUUAAUAUUUCUAAAGAGCUGUAAUGUAAGAAGUGAAUUAUGAACUUACAGGAUUGGAAUCUGUGUCCCCGAAAGUGAUAUGUAGAUUAGCACCCACAACCCUUGUAUAUCAUCUAGUCUGGUUUCUUGGUUUGGUACAGUGGAUUACCAAAGGGGCCUCUCUCUGGUUAGCUUCUGUACAGGCUAAAGGCGCAAGAGACUUCAAAUCUCCUUUAGGGUUAAUGCUCACUUUGUAUUGAGAGCUAGAUCCAAACAUUUUGGCUUCCUUCUGAUAGGAAUGUGAUAGUUGAUCCAAGGACAUGCCAGAAUACCUUGCAGGUAGGCAAAUUGGAGUGGAAAAAUUCCUCCUAAAGAUAGGAAUUUUUAAACUCCAGCCAGUAUAAGGUAUUCUGGCACAGCUAUGAACCUUAAUGUGAGCAAUCUUUUUUUUUUUAAAAAAAAUCAGUUAUUAAAAUAAAUAUCCAAGCACGUAAUCUUCCCUUCUCUUCUUGUUGAGUCUUGGAAAGUAUAUUCAUAAUAUCCCAUAUUUAACUCUCCUCAUUACUCAUGUAUUUUUCCUCAGAAACAUUUCCAUGUCAAAUUGUGGUGCAAUUCCGUUCUGAUUAGCUAUUCGCCCAAUAGUGCCAAAGAGAUGACAAGAUUAGGAAAGGUGGUGGAGAGAGAUUCUGUGAUCUUUCAUAGCGUACUUGGCUUUUUAAAAACAAAUUAUUUAAGCUCUAAACUCAGUUCAGCUUGGCCUUGAGCAUAUUUUUUAUGUGCAGGAAAAUGGUGGGAGAGGGAGAGGAACCACCAUCUGUAUUGGAAUUGUAAAUGUGAAAACUUUGAAUUGUUUCAUUACUAUAAAACCUUCUUUUGGUGGAUUUUUUUUUAAAUGGGUGCUUCAGUAUCAAGCAUGUAGCAUUUGAGGGGAAAAAAUGUGACUUCAGCAUCGCUUAACUCCUACAAAGUCAAUGUUAAAGAAGAGAUGGAGAUAUAUAGAUUAUUUUUUUCCCCACUGAAAGCAAGGAGGAAUGUUAAUUGCAGGUGGGAUUCUGUGAAUUUUGAAGCAACUAUUUCAUUUGAAUCAUGAAUUUGGGGGAACAAAGAAAAAGCUGUUAAUGUUACAAAUAGGUAGAAAAUAUUUUGGGUUGGGAGGGGGAUAGAUCUCUUAAGUCUCCCGUAAGGCAUCUGUAGCAAGUUCUUAGUGUCUUUCUUUCAGUGAUCUAUGUGUAAAUGCUGCACCAAUGUAUAUUAUGCACAUAAAAACAUUUCUUUGAAUAAGAUAGGACAGACCUCAUCUCCAGUCAGGUAUAAACUAUUCUUCCUCUUUUGUGUGUUGGUUUUUCUCUGUGUGUGGAUGUGUGUGUGUGUGUGUGUGUGUGUGUGUGUGUGUGUGUGUGUGUGUUAGUGUUAUAAUGGGUGAGUGAAGAUGGGAGUAUUGUUCAAACGGUAAUACUUUGGUUUUAGGGGUGAAUGAUGGGUUAUUGGAGCAAGAAUGGAAGUGCUGCCUAUAAAGCAUCGCCCUUCUCCAUUGCUUGUACCUUUGGAACCAUAAUGAUUGUGGGGAAGUUUAACUUUGCCCCCUUAUCUUGCUAGUUUUGGAAAGCUUGGACCAAUGUUUAGAAGAGAUUAUUAAAAAAAAAAAAAGCAUUUAAAUCAGCUCACAGGCCUGCCUUCUUACUUGCAGACACAUGAUCUUCCUUCAAACACUGGUUUAAAGCACAAAUAUAUAUAUAUACAUGCCCAAAUGCUCACUCUGGGUGUUUCAGAAGGGAGUUGUUUGGUUACGGGGCAGGAGUGGCCAAGAUCUGUUCACAUUCCCCAAAGUCUGCUUUUAAGCCUAAUGCAAAGGAAGUUCCUGAUACGCAAUCAGAGUGUUGCUCUUUUGAGACUGAUUGGCAAUCUCCCUUAUGGAUCUCCUUGCCCUCAUUGUUUUCACUAGAAGCAGUCUCUUUUCAGUUUUUUUUUAAUACUACAAAGUAAUUAUGUUUCCCUCAAGAGUUUUAUUCUUAGAAAGGCAGACCUGUCAAACCAACUAUCAACUAUUCUUCCUUUUUCUUACCCCACCCCGACCCCAGCCUGGUUGUUCCAUGAAAUGAAAACAUUAUGUUAAGAGAUCUUAUGUAAAAAAAAAUCAUAUUGAAAUAACAAUGCAGUGAGGUAUCACAAGCCAUCCAUCCCCCUUUCUACACAUCUCAGUCUUGCGCACAGUGUGGAAGCCACUUUGUAUAAGCCCUUUACAUGAAUUCAGUGAAUGGUUAACCUUUUUUUUUUGUCUCAGAUGAUAUAUAUGCAUUUUCAAAAUUUCUGCAUUACCUUGGGGGGAGGGAGGUUGGGGAAAAGGGGUUAACAGGAACUUAAAACUAAAAUUAAAAAAAAAAAAACACAAAGCAUUCAGACUUGAUCUAUUUUUUACAAUGUAUGCUGCGACCAGGUCCUGUUAUUCAUAUUGUGGCUUUGAAUCAAUUAUGUUGAUUAAAAUGCUGUUGCUUCUA